rnacentral:rRNA from 1 species
UACGUAGGGGGCAAGCGUUAUCCGGAUUUAUUGGGCGUAAAGAGCGCGUAGGCGGUUUGUUAAGUCAGAUGUGAAAACUGGGGGCUCAACCCGCAGCCUGCAUCUGAAACUGGCAGACUUGAGUCUGGUAGAGGAAAGUGGAAUUCCCAGUGUAGCGGUGAAAUGCGCAGAUAUUGGGAGGAACACCAGUGGCGAAGGCGGCUUUCUGGGCCACGACUGACGCUGAGGCGCGAAAGCUAGGGGAGCAAACAGG